UUUAGUUGCAGCCANGCUGCAUACUUGGAUGUAAGAAUUCUUUUUUAGGAGUGUGAUCUUAGCUUUGAUUUAACGCUAAUCAAAUGCAUUACACACGCAAGUUUUAUUUUACACAAGAACCUUCUUCUUUGCUUAAAAUGCAAAGAUCUAGUUUUAAAAUAGCGUAUUGGUGCGUAAAAUAUGUCUUUUUAUUCGUAUUGUACCUUAGAUAGGCUAGGUUUUCUUCCUUUUAAGAAGUUUAAUGCCACCCAAAAAAAAUUUUUUAAAAAAAUCGAUACUUAAGUAUUGAACUCUUUUUUUGAUCCAAUAGGAAAAAAGAUAUAGAGCGCUUCGAAUUCGAAGGGGGGCCACUUGGGCCUCCUGCGCUUAGCUGAUUUGUGAGAAGAAUCAGCCACAUACAGGUAUGUGAAAGACCUUAUCUCGGACAGAAGUGGGGAAUUUUGGGCAAUGCGCUUAAGCGUGACCCAGCAAAUUGAUGUUGCGGAAGAAAAUAAGUGAGGGUGCCUUGCAGCAAUGUGGGAUAUGCCUCUUUGACUUUUUUUAAACGCAGGCCAGAAACGAGUAUAAUUAAGCUAAGUUUUGUUAGAAGCUAUGGCCAAUACAUGUGCCAGCAGCCGCGGUAAUACAUGAGUAGCUAGCGUUAAUCGUCCUUAUUGAGCGUACAGAGUGAGUCGGCGGUCAUAACAAUUAAUAACUAUUUUUAUAUAAAAAGAUAUUAAUAAAAAGGACUAGUGAUUUUUUUUUAUGUAAGUUGAGCUUGUAAACUAGUGAUAAAAUACAGGGAGUUUACAGGAACAUUCGACGCGAAAGCGACUAACAAUUAAAAAAUGACGCUAUAUCACGAAAGUAUAGGUAAUGAAAAGGCAUUUUAAACCUAGUAGUCUAUACUGUAAAAGAUGAGUAUUUAAUACUAAGUUAACACAAAAAUACUCCGCUUGGGUAGUAAAGCCGCAAGUCAGAAACUUAACAGAAUUGGCGGGGACUUGUUCAAACGGUGGAGCAUGUGGUUUAAUGCGAUAAUCCACGUAAAACCUUACCAGCGUUAAAUUUUUUUCUUUAGUUAAGCUUCAUGGCUAAAAUUUUUAGAAAAAAAGAGAUGGUAUUGCAUGGCUGUCGUCAGUUCGUGUUUUGAAAUUUAGAAUUAAGUUUUAUAAACGAACGCAACCCUUGUUUUGUAUGUUUAAUACAAAAUAAAUGAUUAAGGAAUUAUUCAUUUUAGCUAGAAGGCUGAAGUCAAAGUCCUUACGGUCUGCGUACGCUGGGCUACACACGUGUUACAAUGGUAAAAACAAUAGAAAAACAAAGCUCAACCUUUAGUUUUUAAAAAAUUACCACAGUACGAAUUGUUUUCUGAAACUUGGAAGCAUGAAGAAGAAAUCGUUAGUAAUCGCAAAUAAGUAUGNUGCGGUGAAAUAUAAGUCAAGUCCUGCACACACUGCCCAUCACGCUCAAAGAGUUUUAAAUCUAGAAGCUGAAUUUAGGAUGUGACCCUACCCAUUUUUUUUUUUAAAAAAACUCGCCGGUGCACCAAACACCGGUGUUCUAAACAAGCUACUUGUUGUCAGCACAAAGAAGAGUAAAGGCGAAACCAUUUGAAAUGAUCGGAGUGAAGUUGACACAAGGUACCGGUAUGGGAACUUGCCGGUGGAGCAAGGUGAACAGACCAAUGCAUGCACC
rnacentral:rRNA from 11 species